UAUGUAUAUAUAUAAUCUCUUUAAAAGACAAUUGCCUAGGCCAGCUGCAGUGGCUCACACCUGUAAUCCCACACUUUGGGAGGCUGAGGCAGGCGAAUCACCUGAGGUCAGGAGUUCAAGGUUUGGCCAACAUGGCAAAAACCCAUCUCUACUAAAAAUACAAAAAUUAGCCAGGUGUGGUGGCGCACACCUGUAAUCCCAGCUAUUGAGGAGGCUGAGGCAGGAGAAUCACUUGAACCCAGGAGGCAGAGGUUGCAGUGACCUGAGAUUGCACCAUUGCACUCCAGCCUGGGCAACAGAGCAAGACUAUCUUAAUUUUAAAAAAGGCCAGGCGUGGUGGCUCACGCCUGUAAUCCCAGCACUUUGGGAGGCUGAUGCUGGCAGAUCACCUGAGGUCAGGAGUUCGAGACCAGCCUGACCAACAUGGUAAAACCCUGUCUGUACUAAAAAUACAAAAAAAAAAAAAAUUAGCUGGGCAUGGUGGUGGGCGCCUGUAAUCCCAGCUACUCAGGAGGCUGAGGCAGGAGAAUCGCUUGAACUCGGAGGCAGAGGUUGCAGUGAGCCUAGAUCGUGCCAUUGCACUCCAGCCUGGGUGACAGAGCGAGACUCUGUCUCAAAGAAAAAAAAAAUUUUUUUUAAUUGUCUAUACAGAUGCUCCUCAGCUUACAAUGGGUUACAUCCAGAUAAAUCCAUCACGAGUUGAAAAUAUUGUUAAGGGCCAGGCGCGGUGGCUCACGCCUGUAAUCCCAGCACUUUGGGAGGCCGAGGCGGGUGGAUCACGAGGUCAGGAGAUCGAGACCAUCCUGGCUAACACAGUGAAACCCCGUGUCUACUAAAAAUACAAAAAAUUAGCCGGGCCUGUUGGCAGGCUCCUGUAGUCCCAGCUACUCGGGAGGCUGAGGCAGGAGAAUGGCAUGAACCCGGGAGACGGAGCUUGCCGUGAGCCGAGAUCGCGCCACUGCACUCCAGCCUGGGUGACAGAGCGAGACUCCGUCUCAAAAAAAAAAAAAAGAAAAUAUUGUUAAGGAGCAUACUGAAUGUGUAUAGCUUUUGCAACAUUGUAAAGUUGAAAAAUUAUAAGUUGAACCAUUGUAAGUCAGGGACCAUCUAUACAUAAAGAACUCCUAACAGGCAGCAAUUAAAAAAAAAUCCAAAAAUGGGCAAAGGACUUGAGUAAACAUUUAUCCAAAGAAUAUAUAAAAACAGCACACACAUGAAAAGCUGCUCAACAUCACUGAUUAUCAGGGAAAUGCAAAUCAAAACCACAAUGAGAUACCACCUCACACCCAUCAAGAUAGCUACUAUUUGAAAACAAAACAAGUGUCGGGGAGGAUAUGGAGAAAUUGGAACAUUUGUGCACUGCUGGUGGGAAUGUGAAAUGGUGCAGCCAGUGCAGAAAACAGUAGGCAGUUCCUCAAAACACUAAACAUAAGCCUGGCACAGUGGCUAAUGCCUGUAAUCCUAGUGGUUUGGAAGGCUGAGACAGGAGGAUCACUUGAGCCCAGGAGUUUGAGAUCAGCCUGGGCAACAUAGUGAGACUCUGUCUCAAAAAAAUGAAAGGAAAAUAAAAACUAAACACAGAAUUACUGUUUGACCCAGCAAUUCCACUUCUGGGUACAGACACAAAAUAAUUGACAGCAGGGACGUGAACAGGUAUUCUACACAAGUUUGUAGCAGCAUUAUCCCCAGUAGCCAAAAGAUGGAAACAACCCAAAUGUUCAUCACGGGACAAAUGAAUAAACAAAAUGUGGUCUAUAGAUGCAAUAGAAUAGUAUUCAGCCUUAAAAAGAAAUAAAAUUCUGACAUGCUACAACACAAAUGAACCUUAAAGAUACUAUGACUGAGUGAAAUAAGCCAAACACAAAAAGACAAACACUGCAUGAUCUCACGUAUAUGAAAUCCCCAGAGGGCUGGGGAGCUACAUUCAUUCAUUUAUUCAAAAUAUAUUUAUUCUAAAUGCAACACAGUAUACUGGAUUGUAUGUGUAUACUGGAAUAGAAAACAUCAGUGGGAAAACUGGUAAAAUCCAAAAAAUAAGCCAAUAAAGGAGAUAAAAUGAGACAAUCGGCAAUACUUAUUUAAUACAAAAAAAGACAGGAAAGGAAAGGAAGAACAAAUGGAAUGUAUAGAAAAAGAGCAAGAUAGUACAUUUAAGCUCAACCAUAUCAAUAGUUGCAUUAAAUGUAAAUGGUCUAGACAUCUUAAUUAAUGGGCAAUGAUUGUUGGACUUUUCUUUUAAAUAACAACAAAAAAAAACCCUACAUGCUGUCAGCCCCUUCUGUAGCUCUUUCCCAGACUUGCUAGAAGCAAAAAGAUGAAAUAAUUUUCUGUUGUAUGAUGAAGUCAGCCUUUGAACAGACAUUCACUGGAAGUGACAUCUUCUGGGAAGGCAGGCCUAGCCCUUAUCCUGACAUGCCCCAGUAGCACUCUCAGCUCCUGGGACCUCGUCUACAACAUUGAGGCCCCCAGACCCAGAGACCUGCAGAGCCUUCAGUUACCCACACCUGCUGAAACGUAGGAGGUCUAAGUGCUAAAGUUGUUAUCUUUUAUUAUCUUCCUCCCUUCCAGGCCGGCCUUGCGCUGGAAAGAGCAUGAUGUGGGCGUGUGAGAAACAAACUCACCCAUCCACACCCGAAGAAUGGACUCAGAGACCGUAGAACAGCGAAAGUGAGACUUUUAAUGAUAGUCUUGCAAGAUCGGGUGUCUGAUGAGCUGGCACACCCAGCACAGUUUCAACAAGCAAUUUAUCCCCUCGUGUGCAGGUCGCUCCCCCGGUUCCUCAUAGGCUGAGUACUAUGGGGUCACAACCUUCCUGGACGUCACCUAUUGGUUGUUGGGCAGGGGCUUUAGGUGUUUUCUUUAGGGUUGUCUUGCUGCAUUUUGUUGCAGCCCACAAUGCAUUGCAGUCCUAGUUAGCUCAGGGACUCUUCAAGUAUUUGACUUAUGACCUAAGUAGCUGGGCAGGCUGAUACGAACAGACAAAGCGAGCUAUUUUGGAGGCUAGUAAACUUUCAUUUUAGACUAAACUUUGGUUCAGGUGAGGGAAACUAAGGGACGGGGGCUGGCGGCGACAAACCGGCGUUGGCUAUCCAAGCAGGGUCCUAGUAUAUCCUGUUGCUUCCGUAGUUUGCUGACCUAAGCUGAUUUUAGACACUUUGUCUUGGAAAUGGACACUUUAUGCAUUGUUUCCUUCAGGGUACUUCCGACACAGGAAGGAGAGCUUCCUCUUGGUUGGCGUAUUCCUGUUACAACCUCUCCAGACAGCCCUCGCUGUUCGGCAGGCCCUGGUGGGGCUGCAGGAUCCUGGCCCUCUCCACCCGCUCUGGUCUUGCUGGCCAGGACUGGACUGCCCCUUGCAAGGGCACCUGCACCUCCUGGAAGUUUCCUCUCUGAGACGUGCAUCUCCUUGCACAUCUCACCCCUCACUGACACCCUCCACCCCACCCCUGGGAUGCUGCCUCCUGCUGUAGAUGGUUCUGUCUGGGGCAGCUAGGAGGGUCGGGAAAUUCUCAGAGGGUCUCCAUUUCUGCGUUCAUUUUGUUAGGUCCUCAGCCACUUGUAACGGGGACAUAACACAGGGUCAUGUCUGUAUUAAUGCCAAUGACAUUGAAGCCUCUCUCUCUCUGGACUAUAGAACUAUCCCUAAGAGGCCAGGUGUGGUGGCUCACACCUUGUAAUCCCAAGGUUUUGGGAGGCCAAGGCAGGAGGAUCACUUGAAGCCCGGAGUUCAAGACCGGCCUGAACAACAUAGCGAGACCCUAUCUCUACCAUAAAAAAGACCCAGAACAUCCUCGCCAGCCUGUGCUCCCUAUGGGGCACCCCCUCCAGUGGAAGUGAGGGCAGCCACGCACCCCUGGGAAUGCCUUAGAGAGGGGCCAAUUGCCAUCGCCAGGGGCCUGACUCUGCAACCAUCCACACCUACGGGGAGUCCAUUUGAGAGAUGAGGAAGCUGAGGCUCCAAGCCCCUGGCUCGUGCUGGUCACCCAACCGCCCGGAACCUGGUCGCCAGCCCGCUGUCAGUUGCUUGGCAGUGGACUCCUCUCCUGGCUCAGGGAGCGGUUCCGGCAGGCGUCCACCAGGUGGCAGCACCGGCACAUUCUGCAGGCUGUUCCGGCUCAGAGCUCCAUGUAGUGCUCUGGGGUAACCUGGGCCCCAGCCUGUCCCCUCCCACCCCCUGCAGCCCCUCCUCCCACCCCCUGCAGCCCCUCCUCCCGCUCUGUCCAGCUUCGAACAGGCCACUCAGGCCUCCCAGCCUUUCUUCCACCGUGGCCCAGGCCAUGACCUUGGCCCCAACUCUGGGCCCUGCCCUAUCUGUUCUUCCUGGCGGUCUGUCUCAUUCACUGCCCUACCCAGGGGAACAGCAGCUGGGGCUGGGGGGCAGAUGGCCACGUGGUCCAAUGGUCUCCUUCAUGGCUGGGGUGAAGCUGGGUGGGGUCAAGGGAAGAAGAGGUGGAUCCCAACGGGGGCAGGGCCAGCCAGGGCCUCCCAUCUCCCCUCAGGCCAGGCCUCUCGAGAUGGGGGAGGAACACCUUCCAUGGGAGGCUGCCCCUGGGAACAGGCCUGCAGACUCCCGCCUCAGCCCACCACACAGCCUGUCCCCAAACCUGCUGGGGUGGCGGUGCCCACCAGGAGGACCUGGGGAGGACCAGCUGCUCUGAGGAUGCUGGUUCCCUCCCAGGACUCCCCACUCCCUCCCUGGCCACCCACUCCUCCACCCAGCAAAGUGAGCCAAAAACUUGAAAAGCAACUUUUAUUGAAGAAUUUGGAGGGAAGGUUUCAUAUUAUAAUAGUAAAAAUACUAAAGU